GACGUAGGGCGCGAGCGUUGUCCGGAUUUAUUGGGCGUAAAGAGCUCGUAGGCGGCUCGUUGCGUCGGCUGUGAAAACCCGCAGCUCAACUGGUGGCUUGCAGCUGAUACGGGCGGGCUGGAGUUCGGUAGGGGAGACUGGAAUUCCUGGUGUAGCGGUGAAAUGCGCAGAUAUCAGGAGGAACACCGGUGGCGAAGGCGGGUCUCUGGGUAACAACUGACGCUGAGGAGCGAAAGCGUGGGGAGCGAACAGG
rnacentral:rRNA from 1 species